GCGUAUGAACCUAGAUUUUUAUUCGACCAAUCACAUUGAUCUUCGCUCACUGCAACUGGAAUUACGUGUAUCACUUAACUCCGAUGGUGGAAACCCGACCGGUAGGAGUAUGUCGUUACACUACCAUUGCCGCAAGAACACGAAACCAGGACAUAGAUCAAAUUGAAAACUCGCAUAUCUCCAUAUGCACACAUCCCGAAUCCAAAACUAAACAGCUACGGCUCUAAUACCACUGUUGGGAUACAAGGUAGGCUACGCUAGCGCAAAUCAAAAUUUUCUACCACGUAAACUAGGAAAACUGCCGUAUAAGGAU
rnacentral:lncRNA from 1 species